CCGAGCUCCCUCCUAUCUCUCCUCUCUCCCUCCUCGUCCACGCGCGCUCGCCUCCGGCCACCUCCGCCGCGAGCCCUCCUCUAUCUCCCUCUCCUCCCUCCACUCUUCUCUUCCCGCCUCCUCCUGCUGUCGCCGCCUCCCAUCCCCUCGGCGACGCGCCGCUGGACCCGCACGGCCCAAGCUUCGACGACGGCGCGCGAUGAUAGAGGAGGAGUGAAGGAGAGGUAUGGUGGGGGAUCUGCUCAUGAGCUCGAGGUGCUCAAGUUGGGGUAGCAGAGGACGGCUCGUCGGCAAGCUCAGGUUGGAAGUGGUGAGAUCCAUCUCCUCUCUUCCUCGCCAAACCCUCACCCUUGUCAUUGUCUCCCAGCCCUCUCCGCCCCAUCUUCAGCGCCUUGGGCUCUUCCGUUGAUCUCUUGGGGUUUAGUCUGUGGCUGCUUGGUUAGUAUUACUUUGUUGUUUCGCGUGUCAGCCCUCUCAUGGCCUGUAUUGCUUCUAUUCACCUUCAUGUUCACGUUCUGGUUAGGGGAGAAGUGCAAACGCUAGAGCACAUGGAUGUGCAGCAGGACUAAGUUCUGAUUGGACCAAGUCAAAGGAAGCAUACGACCAGAAAUUUGUUAGUUCCAUUUGCAUAUAAUUAGAGUAAACUGCACUGAUCCACAUACUUUCUCCAGCUCCCUUGAAAGCUAAUGUAUUUGGCCCCCCAUUUUACUGUCAAUUCGUAGUAUGCUUUCUUAUGCUUGAGUGGUCAAUAGAUUUUAGGUUUGAGCAGCUAAUUGGCAAAUUAAAAGUAUAAGGGACAAGAUAAAUUGUGAUCUUGCAAUGUCCACUCCUCUAUUGAUGUGGCUCUUGAUUUCUGAAGCUCCCAGGAUUUAAUCUGUCUUGGGCUUCAUUGGACAAAUGAUCUACCUGGAGCAAUGAUACAGGCAAGUCUUUUAUUUUAAACACUAAAAGCAUUAAGUUAUCAGGUACUAAAACAUCUAAACUAUGUUAAUUGGCUGUCCUUUGAUGGCAGUGUAGAUUGGCAUUGAAGCCUGAUGGCCUUUUUCUUGCACCAAUUAUUCUCUCGUGUGUGCUCCAGUGUUGAUAAUCUUUCCGAACCAUUUUUUCUAUAACUGCUUAUACAGAUGUUUAAUUAGUUGCACAGACAUACAAACAUGAUUUUGCGAGGAAAUUACUUUCUUUGAUCUGUUCUUCAUAAAUGUUUUUUCAGUGGAUGUUUAAUAUAAAUGUUUCAUUUCUUGCAUAAGCAUAUAUGAUUCUGUGAGCAAAUUAUCUUCACUGGUCUGUUUUAGAGAGAUGUUUGAUUAGCUGCAGACCAUACAUAGUUCUGUUAGUAAUUCAUUUUCCCUGGUCACCUGGAUAUUCAGUUCUGUUGGUGACCGUUUGCAUGGUGGGUCAUGUUAGCAAUGGGUAUAAGGGUAUGCAGUGCCCAGGCUUUAUAUUUUUAUCAGGUGUAUUCACCACUAUGCAUGUGUAUAUGUUGUUGGCCUAACUGUAUACAUUUUGUUGGUGUGAUGAUUCAUCCUCUAAAAAUUUAUAUUGUGUCCUGUUGUGCUAGAUGUUUGAGGUUUGGCUUAAAAAAGAAGCUAUUUCUAACAGAAGGUCAAUGGGAGAAAAAGGCAGUGUAUACAUUUUAUUUGGAACUUAUCUGUGACCUUGUCUUUGUAGAAAUCUUCCAGUCGGUUCUCUUAUGAAGAUCUUUCCCCCUAUCUGAUUUGUUAUACCAUAUGAGGGACCAUGGUGUCCCACUGCACUUGAUCCGUGAGUUGUACGAGACCUUCCACAACUUCAAAAUUCAUGUUUCAGGUUAUGUGCACCGCCGAAAGAUAACUUCCACCAUGGAUGGACGCUUUCCAUGAGCUUAAUGUAGACGACAGCAGCAAAGAAGCUGCUUUGUGGGCACUUGUUCCAUGUGCAUUGUCUGAGGUCAUGGUGAGAGCGCCAACAUACUUGCCCCACAUGUAGAUCUCCCAUUGCCCCCCCGGACAAUGGACGUGCUCCAUCAGCGCGACAGCAUGAAUCUCAACUAGGAGUUAGCUUGGCAUCGGUGCUCCAGGUUCAGGUAACAAGCAAGAAAGUGAAUAGGCGCCCAACCAAACUUGAGGCCUACGUGAAUAGGCGCCCGACAAAACAGGCAAUCUUUGUUGAAUGUUCUAACAUAUUUACAACAGGAUUCAGUUUUAAAUCAGAAAUAAAAGCCGUUCGAGUUUCAGACAGGUUGUUACAUCUCCAAAGAGGAUUCCAGCAACAAAACCUCAUGGUCAGCUUGAAUGGAAGCCCUCGCUCAGGUCUUACUCUGCCUCGCCUAGCUGCCACUCUCUUCUAGAGUGGUUGUGACCCCACCGCGCGCUAGGAUGCUAAGGGCUGCAAGAAAUAAAAUAGUAUGUUGCAUUUUGCCUACAGGAUGGAAAACUGCCUGUUCCAUGUAGUCUUCAGAACCUGUGCUGAAAUGGCACUUCUUUGUUUUGAAAGUGUCAGAUUUUGCAAAACUUUUGGUUGUAUCGAAUAGUUUUCAUGUUGUUUCAGUGACAUCAGUUCCUGCUAAGACGUUUUAAAUAUGAACCUAAAUACCUGCUACCAUAAGUGACCAAACUUGUGGUGGUGUGCAAUGUUCAGCUAACUUAAAACAGCUUGCGCCCUGUCUUUCUUCCGCAACACAAAAGCUAGAUUAAUUUACCAUCCAUCCGUCUAGGGAGCUCAAGCAUAAAUUCUGAACAUUCAGACAACCAACCAAGAUGCAGGUGCAUUAGAGCAUGGAAAAGGCAAAGCUGCCAAAGAGUAAUUGAUAUUUCCUCCACUGAUGAUGACGAAAACAACUAAAAAAGGCCAGAAGUAUCAACCUAUACUCGCCUGCAUUUACCCAACUCUUCUCCCCGUACAAAAAUAAAUAAGAUGUACACAUGCGCGUUUAAGUUGGCAUACAUGCCUGCCCAUGAGCAAGUCUAUUGAUACAUGGAUUUUUUUUCAAAGCACACCUGUUAGUGGGUCUCUGCGCCAUUUGCAUAUGUGAUUUCAAAUGGGUCUGCUAUCAAAUUAAAAUGUGUAUAUACAUCUUAUUGUAGACAAAAAUCCACAAUGUUUCUUAUUAAAAGGGAUUAAAUCAUGAAUUUUUUUUCAUUGCGCACAUGGAUUUAGCGUGAUUUGGCACGCGCAACGGGUCCAUGAUAACCAUAUUUUCAACUAAAACAAUGCUUCCUUAGCUGGUCUGUACAUGUAGUUUAAAACAUCCUCCUAACACAGAUCAUUUUAGAUGGAUAUAUGACGGCAUGAGAUUGACUUUGUCCCCUUCAUUGAUAUGUUUCUCCAAAUUUUAGGAAUCAAUUGUGUUUUGACUUCUCUACUUGUUGGCCAUGAAGGAUGCGUACUGAGAAAAAAAAUCCUCAUAUCAUAUUUUUGAGAGGGAAGAUGGUUUAGGGAGUAUUACCACCAUUCCAAAAUAUAAGACGUUUUCGUAGGCUUGGCAAAAAUGGCCUACCAAAACGUCUUAUAUUUGGGAAUUGAGCAACUAUUAUAUCUCUAAAGACAUGCCCUGCUGUAGAUCACAAGAGCCAUCUUUUUUUUUGCCAUACUUCUAUUUACGAUUAUCUCCCAGCAAUGAAAGUCGUUGACAAACUUGAAUAAGCUAGCGGAAAGGUCAACUGCUCUCUUCCUUUUUGUUGGAGUGUUAACUUUUUGUUUUCAAUACCCUAACUUUGUGAAACUAUUUUCUAUAUCUGUACAGGUUCUUGCUAUGUCAGAUAGAUAUAGAAAUCAAUCUUGGUUACUGCAAGACACGUGGGGUUAC